rnacentral:tRNA from 1 species
GAUGCCUUAGUUCAGUUGGUCAGAGCACAGUGCUAACAAUGCCAAGGUUGUGGGUUUGGUCCCCAUAUGGACCA